rnacentral:rRNA from 1 species
GACGAACGCUGGCGGCGUGCCUAAUACAUGCAAGUAGAACGCUGAAGGAGGAGCUUGCUCUUUCCGGAUGAGUUGCGAACGGGUGAGUAACGCGUAGGUAACCUGCCUGGUAGCGGGGGAUAACUAUUGGAAACGAUAGCUAAUACCGCAUAAUAGCAGUUAUUGCAUGAUAACUGUUUGAAAGGUGCAAAUGCACCACUACCAGAUGGACCUGCGUUGUAUUAGCUAGUUGGUGAGGUAACGGCUCACCAAGGCGACGAUACAUAGCCGACCUGAGAGGGUGAUCGGCCACACUGGGACUGAGACACGGCCCAGACUCCUACGGGAGGCAGCAGUAGGGAAUCUUCGGCAAUGGACGGAAGUCUGACCGAGCAACGCCGCGUGAGUGAAGAAGGUUUUCGGAUCGUAAAGCUCUGUUGUAAGAGAAGAACGAGUGUGAGAGUGGAAAGUUCACACUGUGACGGUAUCUACCAG